CAUGAGGUAGAGAGAAAGCAGAGCCCUGGAGAGAUGUUAGCUUUCCUGAGGCUACGGCUGCAGCAGGGCACACUCUCAUUUGGCACACACACUCCAGCAUACAGAUAUCUACCCACCAGCACAGGCAGAAGAAGGUUCAGGUUGUCUUUUAUUCCAGUCGGACAAGGAUGAAUGCUUUGUGAACACCUAACUUUGUCCUGCCUCUACUUCUGGUUAAGACAACCACCUCUGCCUCUCUCCCAAUGGAAGAGUAACAUAAUCUGCUGCAACCAACAUUCAACCCAUCAUCCAAGCUCCUUUCAGCAUCUAUGGGCUUACUGUGGGACCUCUGACAAGAGCAGGUAAAGAAACUUUAAAGAGGAGGAAAGUGUGAGCAGCCCAUUCCAGUCUCCUAAAUACUGAUUUUUAAGGCCCUUCGACAUCUAACUGCAGAGUGAGUGGGAGUGAAUUAUAAUUGCAUGCACAGGAAGUAGUUGAAGGAACUUCAGCAGAAGAGGCAGCACCUUUUGUCCAACCUGAGAGCACAAACAAACAUAAUAUGAUAAUUUGGGAGACCUGAUUAAGGACUGACUAUACUUCUUGUCCCUAUCACAUUCUGCAAGAGUUCUUCUAUCACUUCAUCCCUCAUUUAGAACGAUCUACCUGAUUUGUGCAAGUCCACCACAGUGUGACUAUGCCUACUCUGAAGUCACACUGAGAACACAGCUGAAUUGCAUCAGGUCGUCAUGGUGCCUGUUGUCCAAGACAAAGCAUUAAAUUGAGGUAAAGUAUGUCAAAUUACAUUUAAACUUAGGUUUUCAUACGUAUGCAGAUAUAUUUUUAUAUAUGCACACAAUGUAUGUAUUAUCUAAUAUAUAUGUAUAUAUAAUGAACACAUAUUAUGCAAAUGAAAGUAUACAUGUAUGUGUAUUACAGGCAGAAAUAUACAUGAGUACAUAUACAUGCUACAUAUGCAGUAACAAGGCAGUCUGAUCAUAUGUAUAUGUAUACAUAGAGGUAUUUGUGAAUUAAUAUACACAUUUAUAUUUGGGUAUAUAUAGGUAUAGCAUGUAUGUAUUUGUACCUCAAUCUAUGUUCAUAGGUUUAUGCAGUAAUAGCUUGUUUGUCUACAGCUAUGCCAGCUUACAAACACAUAUGAGUACUUGAAAACUUUGAUAUAUUAUAGGGUGUGGGAAAAACAAAGACACGUGGACAGGUUUACAUGUUACAGUUCAUGAUGGUGCCUAAAUAUCACACACGCGCAUGCAUGUCUUUGCAUGUGUUUAGAAGCAAAAUAUUAAUGAUAUUUGCAUAUUUGCUCACAUCAAUUUUGUUUGCCAGAAAGCCUUCUUUGAAAUACAAGAUUGUUGUUAUUAUUAUUUUAGUAACAAAGCAGCAACAGAAGCUGGGAGAUUUAAGCAGACAUAGAAAAGUGUCAUCUAAUAGUCCAUCAAACAGCUCUUGUCACACAGAUAAACCUUUUAUCUCUCUC